GUGAUGGUAAUAUAAUGGUGAGUUUAACUGCCUUCCAAGCAGUUGGCCCAGGUUCGAUCCCUGGCCAUCACA